rnacentral:tRNA from 1 species
GGGGCUGUAGCUCAGUGGCAGAGCACUUGCCUAGCAUGCGUGAGGCACUGGGUUCGAUCCUCAGCACCA